rnacentral:rRNA from 1 species
GCGAACGCUGGCGGCAGGCCUAACACAUGCACGUCGCACGGAUCCUUCGGGAUUAGUGGCGGACGGGUGAGUAACACGUGGGAACGUGCCCUUUGGUUCGGAACAACUCAGGGAAACUUGAGCUAAUACCGGAUGUGCCCUUCGGGGGAAAGAUUUAUCGCCAUUGGAGCGGCCCGCGUCUGAUUAGCUAGUUGGUGAGGUAACGGCCCACCAAGGCGACGAUCAGUAGCUGGUCUGAGAGGAUGAUCAGCCACACUGGGACUGAGACACGGCCCAGACUCCUACGGGAGGCAGCAGUGGGGAAUCUUGCGCAAUGGGCGAAAGCCUGACGCAGCCAUGCCGCGUGAAUGAUAAAGGUCUUAGGAUUGUAAAAUUCUUUCAGCGGGGACGAUAAUGACGGUACCCGCAGAAGAAGCUCCGGCUAACUUCGUG